UCAGUGAUGUGUAAGUAUUGAAUAAGUACUUCUAAUUUGCAUUUGGUUUUUGGACUUUUAACUAAAUUUUAUUUUUAUUUUUCUUUCAGGGUUCCAGAGGCUCCGCCAGGGAAGAUGAGGAGUUCGUUGUCCCUCACAUCGACAACAAACUUCUCAUCCAACUGGUGGAGCCGCGUCCCGCUUUAUAUGCCACACUGACCGCCACCAUGCCGACCAUCAUCGCACCCAGCGGCUCUGGAGGGAGAUUAGUGUGAGGUUGUUCACUAGAUGGGGGGAUUUGACCGCGGCGGCUCAGAGGCAAUGUGUAAAAACUGUUGUCAUUCGGUGGCGGUCUAUCCAGGACCGCUUCAAGAGGGACUACAUCCAGGAGGUUCAGGCACCGAAUGGAUCCAGAGCAACCUCAAGGCCGCCUUAUAUGUAUAGUGCGGCCUUGGGGUUCCUAAGAAGGACGCUGCUGCUAAGAAGAACUGCCAGCAGCACUCGAGAGCCUGAACAACCUCUUGAGGCGGACCCAGAAUCAACCACCAACACAAGCCCUCCUGUCUGCCAUGCACCUACUCAGGACAGUCCCGGUCCCCUACUAGGUCCCUCUGCUCAACAGAGGCUCUUAAGUUUCAGACCACAUUUGAGAGCCCCGUUGAGCAGCCAGAGAUCUAGUAGGAGCCAUCACAAAGACUAUGUGAACCUUGUAGAGGUCAUGUCUGACGCUCUAGAAGGUUUUGCAGAAGAAAUAAAGGUAGGAAGGGAGGACUUGAUCUGCCGCUGGGAGGGGGCAGAGUCAGCGCAUCAUCUCAACCCCAACUACCAUUAUGCGCUAACAUUUGUCCCUGUGAUGGACCAAAUGUUGCCCAAGCAGCUGCAUUACUUCAAGAAGAGGUCGUGGGAAAUUUUGCACCUGUCCCCAGCCAAACCCUGCCUCCCAUCCCAAACCUAACUCUAUACCACACAUAAUCCCAUCCCACUUCCAGCAACCUUCCCCUUUCCAGCAACCUUCCCAUUCCUGGCAACCUUCCUAUUCCAGAACACCAUCCUAUUCCCGAACACCAUCCCAUUUCCACACCCUUGAGCAUGUGUCCCCUCCUGCCUCUCUUUCUUCUUCUCCUCCUCCACACUAUUUUCCUUCCACUUCUUUCCAAACUCCCUCCUCCACACAUGCUCGGAAACACUCUAGAUCAGACCGUUCUUCUUUCCACACCCUACAAAUCCACCCUGCAUCCUUUCCUGAGGCCCGUCAUUUUUAUUCAGCCUACACAGAGGGCUAGCAUUGCCAGCUCAAGACAGGCCAC